rnacentral:tRNA from 1 species
UAUUUAAUAAUUUAAUAAAAAAUUUUAAAUUGCAAAUUUAAAUAUAUCAAUAAUAAUGAUUUAAAUAU